rnacentral:rRNA from 1 species
UGCAGUCGUACGCUUCUUUUUCCACCGGAGCUUGCUCCACCGGAAAAAGAAGAGUGGCGAACGGGUGAGUAACACGUGGGUAACCUGCCCAUCAGAAGGGGAUAACACUUGGAAACAGGUGCUAAUACCGUAUAACAAUCGAAACCGCAUGGUUUUGUUUUGAAAGGCGCUUUCGGGUGUCGCUGAUGGAUGGACCCGCGGUGCAUUAGCUAGUUGGUGAGGUAACGGCUCACCAAGGCCACGAUGCAUAGCCGACCUGAGAGGGUGAUCGGCCACAUUGGGACUGAGACACGGCCCAAACUCCUACGGGAGGCAGCAGUAGGGAAUCUUCGGCAAUGGACGAAAGUCUGACCGAGCAACGCCGCGUGAGUGAAGAAGGUUUUCGGAUCGUAAGACUCUGUUGUUAGAGAAGAACAAGGAUGAGAGUAACUGUUCAUCCCUUGACGGUAUCUAACCAGAAAGCCACGGCUAACUACGUGCCAGCAGCCGCGGUAAUACGUAGGUGGCAAGCGUUGUCCGGAUUUAUUGGGCGUAAAGCGAGCGCAGGCGGUUUCUUAAGUCUGAUGUGAAAGCCCCCGGCUCAACCGGGGAGGGUCAUUGGAAACUGGGAGACUUGAGUGCAGAAGAGGAGAGUGGAAUUCCAUGUGUAGCGGUGAAAUGCGUAGAUAUAUGGAGGAACACCAGUGGCGAAGGCGGCUCUCUGGUCUGUAACUGACGCUGAGGCUCGAAAGCGUGGGGAGCAAACAGGAUUAGAUACCCUGG